CCAAUAGCGUAUAUUAAAGUUGUUGCAGUUAAAAAGCUCGUAGUUGAAUUUCGAGAUCAAAUUGUUGGUCGUGCCUUGGUACGCACUGGCAUUAUUGGUUUCUCCCUUCUGACGAACCAUGAUGUCAUUAAUUUGGUGUCUUGGGGAAUCAGGACUGUUACUUUGAAAAAAUUAGAGUGUUUAAAGCAGGCUCACGCUUGAAUAAAUUAGCAUGGAAUAAUGAAAUAGGACGUUUGAUUCUAUUUUGUUGGUUUCUAGGAUCGACGUAAUGAUUAAUAGGGAUAGUUGGGGGCAUUAGUAUUCAAUUGUCAGAGGUGAAAUUCUUGGAUUUAUUGAAGACUAACUACUGCGAAAGCAUUUGCCAAGGAUGUUUUCAUUAAUCAAGAACGAAAGUUAGGGGAUCGAAGACGAUCAGAUACCGUCGUAGUCUUAACCAUAAACUAUGCCGACUAGGGAUCGGAUGAUGUUAAUUUUUUAAUGACUCAUUCGGCGCCUUACG
rnacentral:rRNA from 1 species